rnacentral:lncRNA from 1 species
AGAUUGAAGGGCUUAAGAAUGACGUGAAAAGCAUGCUAACAGCUCCUGGAAAAGACAUGGUGGAGACUAUGAAUUUGAUCGAAACACUUGAGCGCUUGGGCAUCUCAUAUCACUUUGCAAACGAGAUUGAAGAACUACUAGAUCAUUUCUUUAAUCUCAACUCAAACUAUGCAGAUGAAGCCUAUGAUUUAUACACCGUUGCACUUCAUUUUCGUUUAUUUAGACAACAUGGCCACCGUAUAUCUUGUGAUGUCUUUAAAAAAUUCAUAGACGAGACUGGAAAAUUCAAAGAGUCUAUUAAGAGCGAUGCAAUAGGAUUGUUGAGCUUAUAUGAAGCAGCAUAUUUAAGAGUGCAUGGAGAAGAUAUACUAGAAGACGCUCUCGCUUUUACAACAGAAAACCUGAAAUCCAUGGCACCAAAUCUAAGCUCUACCCUUGGGAAACAAGUAGCUCAUUCCCUUGUUCAAUGCAUCCAUUUUGGGAACCCAAGAAUUGAGGCACGUAACUUUAUCUCCAUCUACCAAGAAGAUGAGUCCAGGAAUGAAAUGCUUCUGAGGUUUGCCAAAUUGGACUAUAAUUCAUUGCAGAUGUUGCAUAAAAAGGAGCUCUAUGAAGUAUCAAGGUAAUGUUCAAUUGACAAGUUCAUAAGAUUAAAACCUCUAAGUAUGUAUGUGUGUGUGUACGUCAAUUAAUAACAUGCUUCUUAUAUAUAUUGCAGGUGGUGGAAGGAUUUGGACCUUGUUUCUAAGCUUCCAUAUGCUAGAGACCGAGUUGUAGAAUGUUUUUUCUGGGCUAUGGGAGUUUAUCAUGAACCUCAAUAUUCCAUUGCUCGAAUCAUGCUCACCAAAACCAUUGCAAUGACGUCAAUAAUAGAUGAUACAUAUGACGCCUAUGGUGUAGUUGAAGAACU